rnacentral:rRNA from 1 species
CGAUUAUGGCUCGUUGAACACUGGCGGGAUGCUUUACACAUACAAGUCGAACGGCAGCACGGACUUCGGUCUGGUGGCGAGUGGCGAACGGGUGAUAUGUAUCGGAACGUGCUAGUGGCGGAGAUGGCUUGCGAAAGCGUAGCUAAUACAUGCAUGCUCGGGGAAAGCGGGGGCCCUUCGGGCCUCGCCUUUAUUGGAAGCGGCCGAUAUCCGGAUUAGCUGGUUGGUGGGCAACGGCUCACCAAGCGACGAUCCGUAGCUGGUUUGAGAGGACGACCAGCACACUGGGACGAGACACGACCCAGACUCCUGCAGGAGAGCAGCAGUGGGGAAUUUUGGACAAUGGAAACCCACAAGUCAGCCAUCCCGCGCUGAUGAGCCUUCGGAUUAUCAGCGCACUUUGGCAGGAAGAAACGGCACGGGAUAAUACCCGUACGCUGACCACCCUGCAGGAAUGGCGCGGCUUCUUACGUGCAGCAGCCGCGGUAUGCGUAGAGAUUGGCGUUAAUCCGGAAAUUACUGGGCGUAAAGCGUGCGCAGGCGGACCGGAAAGAAGAUGUGAAAAUCAGAGCUUAAACGGAAUUUUGCAUUUUGCUGAGCUGAAAUUGUCAGGGAGGUGGAAUUCACCGUCGUAGCGAUAAAAUGCGUAGACUGGAGGAACACCACGAUGGCGAAGGCGGCCUCUGGGAUAACACUGGCAGCUCGCCGCAGAGGCGUGGGGAGCAAACGGUUGGAUGCCUGGCCGGUCCGCCUAAACGAUGUCAACUGGCUGUUUGGGCCGCUGUGGGCAUGUUGGCGCAAUAACGCGUGAAGUUGACCGCCUGGGAAGCCACGGUCGCAAGAUUUAGAAACUCAAAGGAAUUGUUGGGGAUUACCACAGCGGUGGAUGAUGGAUUAAUUCGAUACAACGCGAAAAACCGCCCACCUGCCCUUGACAUAUCCCGGAAUCCCGAAAGAGGUUGCGGGAGUGCUCUGCAAGGAGAACCGGAACUUAGGUGCUGCGCAUGGCUGUCGUCAAUCUCGUGUCGAGGAUGUUGGGUUAGAGUCCCGCAGCGAGGCGCAAGCCCUUGUAUUAGUUGCUACGAAGGGCGCUCGAAGCGGACUGCCGGUGACAAACCAGGAAGGUGGGGAUGACGUCAAGUCUGUGGCCCUUAUGGGUAGGGCUUCACACAUCAUACAAUGGGUCGGGACAGGGAGUCGCCAACCCGCAAAGGGUAAUCCCAGAGCCCGAUCGUAGUCCGGAUCGCAGUCUGCAACUCGGCUGCGUGAAGUCGGGUGUCCUUAGUAAUCGCCAGAUCAGCAUGUGCGGUGAAUACCGUUCCGGGUCUUGUACACACCGCCCGUCACCGUAGAAUUAGGUUUUGCAAUGGAUUAGCCCUGACUUGUCAGAGGAGGGCGAUUACCACAGUAGGAUUCAUGACUGGGGUGAAGUCAUGGCAGCAGGUAG